rnacentral:rRNA from 16 species
GGAUGCGAUCAUACCAGCACUAAAGCACCGGAUCCCAUAGGAACUCCGAAGUUAAGCGUGCUUGGGCGAGAGUAGUACUACGAUGGGUGACCUCCUGGGAAGUCCUCGUGUUGCAUUUC